rnacentral:rRNA from 1 species
UACGUAGGGGGCAAGCGUUAUCCGGAUUUACUGGGUGUAAAGGGAGCGCAGACGGUUCAGUAAGUCAGAAGUGAAAACCCGCGGCCCAACUGCGGGACUGCUUUUGAAACUAUUGGACUAGAGUGCUGGAGGGGCAAGCGGAAUUCCUGGUGUAGCGGUGAAAUGCGUAGAUAUCAGGAGGAACACCGGUGGCGAAGGCGGCUUGCUGGACAGUGACUGACGUUGAGGCUCGAAAGCGUGGGGAG